ensembl:lncRNA
GAAGCUUAUGGCUGGAAUACACUACAUAACUUACAUUGCGUAAUGAAAUCUAAACAGAGUUUAAAACAAUAGGCAUCAUACACUUGCCAAAUUUUAGAUGGUUACAGAGGAAAAACUGGGUAUCAAAUGCUAAACGACUGAGGAUCACACACUACCAAGCUUUCAGGUUAUUCAGGAAACAACAAACACUCAGAAACAGAACUCCUUGUUUCUAAGAGAUGCAUGGCAAAUGAAAAAUAACAUUCUAAAAUCACUUUUUUCUUCCUUGGCAUUUUUUUUUUUUUUGCAUACAGAAAACAACAUCAUCAAAAUCUUGCAUCACUGCUAAACGACAAGCUGCACAAAGCCAGCGUGUGUUUUAUAACCUCCACUCCUCCACCAUGCUCUUUCUUGUGGUCACGGGCACAUGGGAUGGAGGGAUCAGGGUGAGGAGGGGUAGAGGCUAUGAUUCAUUUCCAAGGGGCUUUCUUUCAUGUUUCCACUGAGUGACGUUUAAUAGAGCCUCAGGGGUCUGGUUGAAGCUGCUUCCAUGGUGGAGUGUUUGAGGAGUCUGGCUUGCAUUUUAUCAGACUGAUGGGGCCCCGCACCCGAGAAAGAGGCUGACAACAGCACAAAAGAAGCUUGUUUUGAACCACCUCGUGAUCGAACUCUUAGCUUUAUUGUUCUUAAUCAACAUAGUUUUCACAAAUAAACACAUCAUUAACAGCUGCAUGCUGGUAUGGAACCGAUAUGGACCCCUGUUGUUCAACUUGGUAAAGAACGGCACACACAUUCUGAUCAAAUAUAUACUGUACCUUGAAAGCUUUUUAAAUUGGAUGCAUAAAUGUAAAGCAAAAUAAGCAUAAAGCAUGCUAGAUUAUUAUUUGCUGCACAACAAAUAUGAACUAUACACACAUUUAUGCAUUCACUAGGAGAGCCUUUUGUUGUUCAUUAGAGGCUUCUGAAUGCCAUUUCUUACCCCAAAGGUUCAUGAUCCUGGUGGGAUGUGAGGGUUCCAGCAUUGUAAUUUCUUCACAGGAUUCCUUAUUAUUGAAAAGUCCCAUGGGGCACAGAGGAAGAAAAGGGAGGCUUCAGUGUCAUUUCAGGUCUUGCACUGACACACCAAAAUCACUUUUGGAGGAGAACCAGCUGGAAAAGGUAUGAAUUCAGAUCAUGUGCUUUAUGAUACAUGAAUCAUUUGCAGGACACAUCAGA